GGCUCCUAAAAUUAAAAGACUUUGGGCCGGGGAUUUAGCUCAGUGAUUCCGCCACCUGCCUCGCAAGUACAAGGCCCCAAGUUCAAUCUCCAGUACCAAAAAAAAUAAAAAAUUUAAAAAAAAAAAGACUUUGCUACAUCCAGUGAUAAACUGGACCAAUACAACAGACAAGAAACACAGGAGCUUUGCAGGUCAGUCAGGAAAACUUGGAUGGCUUAGUCCAGAAAUGGGAAAAAGAAGACAUGCUAUUGUCCAGUAGGGCCAGGAAGAAAAGAAAGGAACAUUUGACCUCAUUGUCCUUCAGGAAAUGUGAAGUAAAACCUUGUGGUCCUUCACACAUGCAAGGAAAAAUGCUUUAAAUUUUUUUUUUUUUUGUACCAGGGAUCAGACUCGGGGCCUUGCGCUGACAAGGCAGACACUAGAACCACUGAGCUAAAUCCCUGGCCCCUUUAAAUUUUUAAGUUAAAAAGAAAGAAUGCUAAUAUUGGGAAGUAUUAAAUGUAUAUUUGUGUAUGUAACACAUGAGAAAGUCUGGAGACUGUCGUAGACACAGCAUCACACACACACACACACACACAUUUUAAUUUACAAGCAGGAGAUUCACCCAUUUGCAUGAACUGUUCUGUGAGUUUUGACAAACAUGGUCGUGUACUACCUCAUGGUCAGGAUAGAGAAAAGCCCCACACCCUCCCAGAUCCUCUCCUGCUGGCCCUGUGCAGCCAGCUCCUUCCCUGGCCAGCCUCAUCUGUCUUCUAGUCCCAUAAUUUUGACUUUUGCAAGUUGUCAUAUGAACGAAUCACAUGCCUGAACCCCUUGGAGGCUGGCUUCUUUUGCUCACCCUAAUGCAUCUGGGAUUCUCCGCCUCUUGUAUUUAUUCUCUUGUAUGCAUGGACCACAGUCUGUUUAUCCCUCCAUCUGCUUAAAGGGCAUUUUGGUUGUCUCUAGAUUUUGUUGAUUGUGACUAAACCACUAUAAUCAUUUAUGUGCAGGUUUGUUUGCCCCACACACACACACCGGGGAUUGAGUUUAGGACCUUGCGCUUGCCAGGCAAACGCGGCACCACUGAGCCACAUCCCUAGCCUGUGUGUAGGUUUUAAUAUCAAUGUAUGUUUUAAUUUCUCUUGGACAAAUACCUAGGAGUGAAAUUACUGGAUUUGUAGGUGUGUGUUUAUCUUUCUAUAAAAUGGCCAAAUGUUGAAGGUUUUGGCCAGUUUCUCCCAUAGCACCAUAGCUGUGUAGGGCCCUAAUGAAAUACUGCUACCACCUUCCUCUCCCAUUUGGAGCUUUACUGACAGAUGCUGAAGGCCCAGCAGGCCAAUUUGCAAUCUCUCUGGACUUGUUUCUACCUUUUCCCAGCUGCUGUGGGUUCAGUCCUGCUGGGUGGGAAGCUAACAGCCUCCUUUUGGUGACCUCUCCCUCCUCCAUUGAAGGCAGGCAAAUAACAAUGGGGCGUGCAUAGUUCUCAACUUAAAUAGUGCUUUAUGAGUUCUUUUUGUUUAAUUACAAAAGUGAUGUAUGUACAUAUCAAACAAGAAAAAACAAUCAAGCAGGGCCCUGAGGUGUAUCCCCAGCACUAUAGUAAAAAAAAAAAGGAACACUAUAAAAGGACAGCCAAUGUAAAGAUAAAAACACUCUCUCACUCCAAGGGCCCCGUUCCUCAUUCCAGAGGUAGCCAGGGUUCAUUUCUCAUAAUACUUCUAGAAAUUGUCUCUUCAUAUAACAAUGCUUUUAAACACUGCAUUUAGUUCUGGUAAAACCAUCACAGCGCUCCGGGUCAUUAUGAAAUUGUUGGGUAAUUUUCAACUUGUAAUAACUCAUAUCAGGGUCAAUAGUCACCUUUAAGGAUCCACUAAGAACCUGAUAUUUUGUGCCAAACAUUCCAUCUCUGCAUUUUUUGGUGGCAGCUUAGUAGCUUUUAUCAGAUUCUCAGAACCCAGAAAGACGUGUCUUUUACAGAUAAGGGGCAGAUAAAUGUGUAACUAGCUGGGGGAGGGGACCAAUAGGUUCUGGACUCCUGGUUCUUUGUUGGUUGGAAGCUGGGGGAACCAUUGCGCUAACAAGUUUGUCUUGGGCUAAAAGCCUGGCUGAGCUCACAGAGAAGUCUGUGGGAUUCUUCGUCCUGAGUCCAGCUGACUCACAGCAUGGGGGAAGAGUGCUGGUGGCCGACACACGUUUUCUCUUUCCCCAGGGUGAGCUGGUUACUGUGCACUUCUCACAGAGAGCAGCAGACAGCUUGCUUCCUGUAGACUGAACAAUAUUCUAGAUGAUUUAGGGAAAUUCCUGGGAGGCAGCUUAAUCCGGUUGAUGAUGAAAGUCACAGAUGUUGGGGGGCAGUUGGGAGGGGAAAUGACCCAGCUGUCUAACACCCUUGUGUAUAUUAAGGCAUUUGUGGUUCAGAACAAUUCUGACAGAUGGGGAAACUGAGGCAGGAGUACACUAGCUACUGUGCAACCAGCCCCACCUCCCAGUGUGAGUUACUGGCCGCUUGGGUCCAUACACUAGAUCUCUUUGCUUGCCACUGACAAAUGAGGCCAUUUAUGUUGGUGAAAAGGAAAAUGGCUUUGUGCAAAGCUGGCUCCCAGGGGAUGCAGGGGCACCAUUCCCCUGUGUCCAGGGCUAGAAGGGUCUUUUACAGCAGGGAAGGAGAGGAGGGGUAGACAGCGAGGCGACAGAGCUCUCCAGGCUGCUUUAUGGCUCCCAGCCAUCCUGGAACUCCUCUUUCCCAUGGAUAGGACACUGGCACGAGGGGGUGGCACUCAAGUGGCAGAUAGGCUGUAGGUCUCUCUAAAGGAAAAAAGUCUAACUUAGAGUUCCAUUUGCUGGGUACACGCACAGUUGCAUUUGUCGGUGGGGGAGGGAGGGCCCUGGCCCUGUGCCGUCGCUGCAGGACCCAGGCUGCAUCCAUCCACAGCACUUCCUCUCCCAGGGCCUGGCCAGAGAGCAAGGUUCACCAUAUACCAAUUGCUAAACCAAGGGUUUUGAGGAAGAGAAAAGCAAUUAUUCAUUAUUCGCAAGGUGGACAAGCGACAAGGUGGGAGAUCUAAGCUUCAAAUCCACCUCCCCAAAGAGGUUGUUUAUGGGAUGAAGAAGCAGGUGGUCGCAGGUGUUUGCAGGUGUUUGCGAAGGUGAAAUAUGUUCUGGUGGAAACAACCCAAAUGUCCAACAUAUGAGCCUGGGAAAUUGACCCUGGUAUGUCCAUGUGGGGAAUAUCACAUGAUCAUCAAAAGUGGUGAUGGAAACCUAGGAAGAGAUGGAAAGAUGAUUCUAAUCUAGCAACAUAAAAGGGCAGCUUACAAAGCUGCUCUAUUUUUUUGUUUUGAAAAAUAUUCAAAAAGUAUUUGAAGAGCAUGUAUUAUAACAUUUCUAAUGAUUAUUGCUAAUGGAUUAUGAGAGAUUUUUAUUCCCUGCCCCCUCUGUCUUUUCUAACCUAUGCUUUCUAAAUUUCCUACCAAGAAACAUUUAUUACUCUGUAGCAAAGUAACAGGUUUAAGUCCAAAUCCUAGUCCUAAUGGCCUCAAUGAUCUUGAGGCCAUUGCUUAAUUUCUCCACCUGGGGAGAAUCAUUUUAGGAUUUUGUGAGGAUUAAACAAGCUAACUGUAAGAGGCACUUAGUACAUUUUUAGGCGUUGUCACUAACAAAAUCAUUUUUGCAAAUCUUUCUACUCUGGUAAAACCCAUUCCCAAAGCAGACCAACCACAUCUGGGAGCCACUGGG
ensembl:lncRNA